rnacentral:piRNA from 1 species
UGGAAAGCUCAGCACAACCCAGAAGUGC